rnacentral:rRNA from 1 species
UACGUAGGGUGCGAGCGUUAAUCGGAAUUACUGGGCGUAAAGCGUGCGCAGGCGGUCUGUUAAGACCGAUGUGAAAUCCCCGGGCUUAACCUGGGAACUGCAUUGGUGACUGGCAGGCUUUGAGUGUGGCAGAGGGAGGUAGAAUUCCACGUGUAGCAGUGAAAUGCGUAGAGAUGCGGAGGAACACCGAUGGCGAAGGCAGCCCCCCUGGGCUAACACUGACGCUGAGGCACGAAAAGCGUGGGGGAGCAAACAGG